UUUGAGAUGAUGAGUGGCAUUGAUGCUUCAAGGAGAAACUGUGUUUCAUUCUUGUUGCCUGAACUAUUUGUUAUGUUGACAUAAACAGAUGCUCAGGGGCCAUCUGAUCAAA